rnacentral:tRNA from 1 species
GCCGGGGUGGUGAAAUGGCAGACACGCCAGCCUUAGGAGCUGGUGGCCGCAAGGCCGUGCGGGUUCGAAUCCCGCUCCCGGUACCA